CGGGGUGAGUAAUGUAUGGGGAUCUGCCUGAUGGCGGGGGGUAACUACUGGAAACGGUAGCUAAUACCGCAUAAUGUCUGCGGACCAAAGCGGGGGACCUCCGGGCCUCGCGCCAUCAGAUGAACCCAUAUGGGAUUAGCUAGUAGGUAAGGUAACGGCUUACCUAGGCGACGAUCCCUAGCUGGUCUGAGAGGAUGAUCAGCCACACUGGGACUGAGACACGGCCCAG
rnacentral:rRNA from 1 species